CCUACGGGAGGCAGCAGUGGGGAAUUUUGGACAAUGGGCGAAAGCCUGAUCCAGCAAUGCCGCGUGCAGGAAGAAGGCCUUCGGGUUGUAAACUGCUUUUGUACGGAACGAAACGGUCUGCCCUAAUACGGUGGGCUAAUGACGGUACCGUAAGAAUAAGCACCGGCUAACUACGUGCCAGCAGCCGCGGUAAUACGUAGGGUGCGAGCGUUAAUCGGAAUUACUGGGCGUAAAGCGUGCGCAGGCGGUUAUGUAAGACAGUUGUGAAAUCCCCGGGCUCAACCUGGGAAUUGCAUCUGUGACUGCAUAGCUAGAGUACGGUAGAGGGGGAUGGAAUUCCGCGUGUAGCAGUGAAAUGCGUAGAUAUGCGGAGGAACACCGAUGGCGAAGGCAAUCCCCUGGACCUGUACUGACGCUCAUGCACGAAAGCGUGGGGAGCAAACAGGAUUAGAUACCCUGGUAGUCCACGCCCUAAACGAUGUCAACUGGUUGUUGGGUGCAUUAGUACUCAGUAACGAAGCUAAACGCGUGAAGUUGACCGCCUGGGGAGUACGGCCGCAAGGUUGAAACUCAAAAUGAAAUUGACGG
rnacentral:rRNA from 1 species